rnacentral:rRNA from 1 species
UACAGGGGGGGCAAGCGUUGUUCGGAAUUACUGGGCGUAAAGGGCUUGUAGGUGGCCAACUAAGUCAGACGUGAAAUCCCUCAGCUUAACUGGGGAACUGCGUCUGAUACUGGAUGGCUUGAGUUUGGGAGAGGGAUGCGGAAUUCCAGGUGUAGCGGUGAAAUGCGUAGAUAUCUGGAGGAACACCGGUGGCGAAGGCGGCAUCCUGGACCAACACUGACGCUGAGUGAGCGAAAGCCAGGGGAGCAAACGGG